UUAGAUCUCUUACUUUUUGUUCCAUGCUUCUAUUGUUCUACCCUUUUCGUAUUUUCCUUUUAUAUUUUCCCUGCGAUGUCGUUGCUCUGAUUAGCUUUGAUUAUCUCUUCCCCUCUUCUUCUACUCUGAUAUUUGGCCCUUUUCUCUCUCCUAUUUCUCUGCAACCCGCAUUCUCAGCCAAUCAACCAUAGGGUUCUAAACUUUCACUUUCCUUUCUCAUAAUUCAGUCCAUCAACUACCAAAACAUUUCACUCCUAAAAUCAAUUUCAAUUCGAAACUCUAAAUUCUUAGAACGUGGUCGAUGAACAUCUGAAUAUUUCUGCAAAACUAGGGUACUCCGUAUUUAUUUCUAUAACGAUACCAGGGAUACUGGAUCAUGAAGCCAGAGGCCGAUUCCUAAUAUGACAAUCAGUUGCGAGCUGCAAAUUCAGUUCGAGUAUGCUUAAGAAACUCAAUGUUGUUCUUGACUUCUUGGGAAUCUUAGCCCUAAUUUUUCCGCCGGUGAAAAGUGGAAGCCCUUGAAGCAACCUAAGAAGGAUAGACUGAGUUAGAUGAGGUAUUGUGGCAUCUGACGCCGUAGACAUCUUACCUCAGUCUGGCAGCCCUUGGAAUUGCAAGCAUUCAAGGACUGGUUGUUGCUUAAGAGAGAUGAUGUUGAUCGUCAUUUGUUAUGUAUAAUACAGGAGAAAGGUAGACAUCCACACAAUAAUGAUCUAUCUGCUCCAUCUCCUCCAAGCAGAAAUAUGUAUGGAACAGGUCAAGGAUCAAGCCGUUGCUUGUAUGGUUGUUACCUGUCUACAAUAAAAGUUGAGCAAGAAGAUAAAGCAACUAGAUCUUUUGAAAAGGACUUAUAGUCCGGUUUCCCCAUCCGGCAUAAGCUAAAAUUAGCAGCAAUGAGGCCCAUACCUCAAACUAAUAUUCAAAAAAUGAUGCGUUCUGCGGGGAUCGUGCAAGCAGAUAACUACGAUACGGGCCAACGGAAGCUCAGCUGGCCAGCGCUUCCACCAAACAAGCAUAGUGUCCUGGCAUCAAAUCCUGCACCAAAUGGAAGGUCUUCUAACAUUUUUCAGGUUAAGCAGUUCAUAUCCUUAAAUCCAAUACCUAUGAAGAAGCAUGGUUGUUGUUGAUCACCUAUCCAGAUAUGCUGAGAGGUUGGUGCUCAUGGUACUGGUGCAAGAUUGCCACCUAUUGAUUAGCAAGUUAUUUCCGUGAAACUGGUCACUCCUGCCAAGGGUACUGUAGAGCUAUCUAAAGAGAAAGAUCCGGAGCUAUUUUAUCUUGCUCGUGUUGGUCUUGGAGGACUCGGAGUAGUGGCUGAAGUCACCCUUCAGUGUGUUGAUAGGCAGGAGCUUGUAGAGCACACCUAUAUCUCUAAUAUGGAUGAGAUAAAGAAAAAUCACAAGACGUUUGUCUCAGCCUCAACUAGGCGGUGGCAGUGCUGCAUUCGAGCUGGAUCGUUUCUUCGACGGCGGAAAGCUACCGGGCAUUUGGAGGAUAUAAAUUUUCGUAUAGAUCCGCUAAAUUGCAGCCCUUGGCUCAUGAACCACUCUCCUCUUCAAUCCCCUUCUCUCUCAAUCUCUUUGUUAAAUCCUAUUCAGGUCAAUCUUAUCUUGAGCCUGUUGGACCUUGAGCAUUGGUUUCAAACCUGUUGUACCAUGAAACUCGCUUAAACCAAGGUGUGGCAAUACUUGUCAUUAGAUGAUCUGGCGCAUCUGGGUGUUAUUAGGAGCCUACCUUCGAAGUUGUUUUCAGAGAUGAAUGAUAUGCCUAUGGAGGAAGUUGUGAAGAACAUUUCAGGAAAAAACUACUUGGCUUAGAUGAUCUUUUUAAUGACCACAAGGAGCAAGAAAAAAAAAAGAAGAGAAAGCCUAAGGUUGUGAAAAAUCGGAAUGUUUAUGAAUCAGAUGAUGAUGAUGCUAAUGAGAAAGAAAAUAAACUGACCGAAGCCCUUCAAGAUUUUAAGAAGACGGUAUAUUGGGUUGUCUUGUCUUGUUUUUUCUUCUUUCUCAUUUCCCCCCAUACUUAGAUAGUUACAUGCAAAGAUACUGGCUUUUGUAGAUAUCUGAAGUUGAUGGGGAUGUUGGGGCCUUAAAUAAUAACGGACAGGAAGAUAUUUCCUCGAAUUGGGGUCUGCAAGUCUUUGGAACUCAGGUUCUCUCAUAUUUUACUUAGUCUGUAAUUCUAGGAGCCUACAAAUAGCUUUUAGUGCCGUCUUUUAAAACAUUGUUUUCAUGCAGAGAAGUUCAUCAUCCUUGGUUGUUCCUCAUCUAAAGGGUUACUCGUUGUUACAGAACUCUAUGAACAAUGUACUUGAUGCACUGUUGGAUGAUAGCUCACAGAUGGGUAUUAAUUUGUUACAUUUUCUCUCUAUUGCUACUAUGUACAAAACUACAAACUACUUUCGAACUUUCUUCAAGUCCCAAUGUGUUUUGGGUGGUGGUAAGCUAUGUUCUUAUAAAUAUGAGAUAUAUGUUAGUAUGUUACAGGAGAGACAUUUCUUGAAGGAUUACUCUUGAAUGGCUGGGUUUCAAAAUUGGUUAUUACCCGUGGACAUCUGGAAGAAUCAAUAGGAAAAUGAACUGUUAAUCUGUGCAAGUACACAAUAUUGGUUAAGUGUUCCUAUUUAUUUUAAUUUUCUUGCGAUGUAUCAGGUCAUAUUGAUAUCUAUUACUUUAUUCUUUCUCCAGCGCUAUACUCUUCAGAGGAAUCUCUAAUGGCUUCUGCUUGUGGCUUCUGGUGUGCCUAUUUUUCCAACAAGGUUAGUGGGGUCAUUGAGUAGAAAUUGAGCAAAUGACCAAAGUCAGACUUGUUUUAUUCAAAAACCAAGAUGCAUUUUUCGUCUCCUGUAGACCCAACUCUUGACAGUAAGCAAUCCAACACUGAGCAAUUUUUAAUGCUGAAGCACUCUAUUGGCUUCCCAACUUUUUACUACUUUUGAUACAGUAUAAUCUGGGUAUAAAUGUAUAAAUGUAUAAAUGUAUGAUGCAUAUGUGCUUUGUAUGUUUUGGUAUGCUCCUUAGCAUGUUAUUUUAUCAUCCUUUGAUGGAUGCAAUCUGUAUUCUCUAGGAGCAUAACUAUCUUGUAUUCGUAAUUGUUUUAUUUUCCUGAACUAUCUCAAUCUGAUAGUUACUCUUUUCCACUCUACAUGAAACUACCUUUUGCGGUGCUUUUUUCU